rnacentral:rRNA from 1 species
GACGAACGCUGGCGGCGUGCCUAACACAUGCAAGUCGAACGAGGUCCAAGGGAGCUUGCUCCCUGACGACCUAGUGGCGAACGGGUGAGUAACACGUGAGAAACCUGCCUCGGAGUGGGGAAUAACUCGGGGAAACUCGAGCUAAUACCGCAUACCUUCAGAUGGUCGCAUGGCCGACUGAAGAAAGAAUUUCGCUCUGAGAGGGUCUCGCGGCCUAUCAGCUAGUUGGUGGGGUAACGGCCUACCAAGGCAGCGACGGGUAGCUGGAUUGAGAGAUCGAUCAGCCACGCUGGGACUGAGACACGGCCCAGACUCCUACGGGAGGCAGCAGUGGGGAAUCUUGCGCAAUGGGCGAAAGCCUGACGCAGCAACGCCGCGUGCGGGAUGACGGCCUUCGUGGUUGUAAACCGCUUUCAGCAGGGACGAAAUUGACGGUACCUGCAGAAGAAGCUCCGGCUAACUACGUGCCAGCCGCCGCGGUAACAC